AGCGAACGCUGGCGGCAGGCCUAAUACAUGCAAGUCGAGCGCUCGUAGCAAUACGAGAGCGGCAGACGGGAGAGUAACACGUGGGAACGUACCCUUCGGUUCGGAAUAACUCGGCUAACGCCGAGCUAAUACCGGAUACGUCCGUAAGGAGAAAGAUUUAUUGCCGAAGGAUCGGCCCGCGUCUGAUUAGCUUGUUGGUGGGGUAACGGCUCACCAAGGCGACGAUCAGUGGCUGGUCUGAGAGGAUGAUCAGCCUCACUGGGACUGAGACACGGCCCAGACUCCUACGGGAGGCAGCAGUAGGGAAUAUUGGACAAUGGGCGCAAGCCUGAUCCAGCCAUGCCGCGUGAGUGAUGAAGGCCUUAGGGUUGUAAAGCUCUUUCGGCGUGGAAGAUAAUGACGGUACCCGCAGAAGAAGCCCCGGCUAACUUCGUGCCAGCCGCCGCGGUAAGAC
rnacentral:rRNA from 1 species